rnacentral:snRNA from 1 species
GGAUGUGAGGGUGAUCUGGCUGCAACACUGUCACUCCACUUAUCACCAGGGUUGAUAUGACUAAUCUGGCUGGUGUCCCCUUCUUCCCUUAUGUCCUUCCCAAAGCUGUGUGCUGGAUGGAAAAGGACAACCAUCCCAGGAGUGUACUGAUCUUCAGUCAAGGGUAUAUAAUAGCUCCAAACGAGCUAUAAAUACAGGACUUAAUAUCAGUGGUAGUAGUAGUAAGGUCUGAACUAUCAUCAUUUACCUUUCAUA